rnacentral:rRNA from 1 species
UUUUAUGGAGAGUUUGAUCCUGGCUCAGGACGAACGCUGGCUGCGUGCUUAACACAUGCAAGUCGAACGCUGAAGCCCUGGUGCUUGCACCGGGGUGGAUGAGUGGCGAACGGGUGAGUAACACGUGAGUAACCUGCCCCCGACUUCGGGAUAAGCCCGGGAAACUGGGUCUAAUACCGGAUAUGACGACCGAAGGCAUCUUUGGUUGUGGAAAGUUUUUUCGGUUGGGGAUGGGCUCGCGGCCUAUCAGUUUGUUGGUGAGGUAAUGGCUCACCAAGACGACGACGGGUAGCCGGCCUGAGAGGGCGACCGGCCACACUGGGACUGAGACACGGCCCAGACUCCUACGGGAGGCAGCAGUGGGGAAUAUUGCACAAUGGGGGAAACCCUGAUGCAGCGACGCAGCGUGCGGGAUGACGGCCUUCGGGUUGUAAACCGCUUUCAGCAGGGAAGAAGCCCUUCGGGGUGACGGUACCUGCAGAAGAAGUACCGGCUAACUACGUGCCAGCAGCCGCGGUAAUACGUAGGGUACAAGCGUUGUCCGGAAUUAUUGGGCGUAAAGAGCUCGUAGGUGGUUGGUCACGUCUGCUGUGGAAACGCAACGCUUAACGUUGCGCGUGCAGUGGGUACGGGCUGACUAGAGUGCAGUAGGGGAGUCUGGAAUUCCUGGUGUAGCGGUGAAAUGCGCAGAUAUCAGGAGGAACACCGGUGGCGAAGGCGGGACUCUGGGCUGUAACUGACACUGAGGAGCGAAAGCAUGGGGAGCGAACAGGAUUAGAUACCCUGGUAGUCCAUGCCGUAAACGUUGGGCACUAGGUGUGGGGGACAUUCCACGUUCUCCGCGCCGUAGCUAACGCAUUAAGUGCCCCGCCUGGGGAGUACGGUCGCAAGGCUAAAACUCAAAGGAAUUGACGGGGGCCCGCACAAGCGGCGGAGCAUGCGGAUUAAUUCGAUGCAACGCGAAGAACCUCACCAAGGCUUGACAUACACCAGACCGUUCUGGAAACAGUUCCUCCCCUUUGGGGUUGGUGUACAGGUGGUGCAUGGUUGUCGUCAGCUCGUGUCGUGAGAUGUUGGGUUAAGUCCCGCAACGAGCGCAACCCUCGUUCUAUGUUGCCAGCACGUGAUGGUGGGAACUCAUAGGAGACUGCCGGGGUCAACUCGGAGGAAGGUGGGGAUGACGUCAAAUCAUCAUGCCCUUUAUGUCUUGGGCUUCACGCAUGCUACAAUGGCUGGUACAGAGAGAUGCGAGACCGCGAGGUUUUAGCGAAUCCCUUAAAGCCAGUCUCAGUUCGGAUCGUAGUCUGCAAUUCGACUACGUGAAGUCGGAGUCGCUAGUAAUCGCAGAUCAGCAACGCUGCGGUGAAUACGUUCCCGGGCCUUGUACACACCGCCCGUCAAGUCACGAAAGUCGGUAACACCCGAAGCCGGUGGCCCAACCCUUGUGGAGGGGGCCGUCUAAGGUGGGACUGGUGAUUGGGACUAAGUCGUAACAAGGUAGCCGUACCGGAAGGUGCGGCUGGAUCACCUCCUUUCUAAGGA